rnacentral:rRNA from 1 species
AUUGAACGCUGGCGGCAGGCCUAACACAUGCAAGUCGAGCGGAUGAAGGGAGCUUGCUCCUGGAUUCAGCGGCGGACGGGUGAGUAAUGCCUAGGAAUCUGCCUGGUAGUGGGGGAUAACGUCCGGAAACGGGCGCUAAUACCGCAUACGUCCUGAGGGAGAAAGUGGGGGAUCUUCGGACCUCACGCUAUCAGAUGAGCCUAGGUUGGAUUAGCUAGUUGGUGGGGUAAAGGCCUACCAAGGCGACGAUCCGUAACUGGUCUGAGAGGAUGAUCAGUCACACUGGAACUGAGACACGGUCCAGACUCCUACGGGAGGCAGCAGUGGGGAAUAUUGGACAAUGGGCGAAAGCCUGAUCCAGCCAUGCCGCGUGUGUGAAGAAGGUCUUCGGAUUGUAAAGCACUUUAAGUUGGGAGGAAGGGCAGUAAGUUAAUACCUUGCUGUUUUGACGUUACCGACAGAAUAAGCACCGGCUAACUUCGUG